GAUGAACGCUGGCGGCGUGCUUAACACAUGCAAGUCGAGCGAAGCGCUAAAGCGGAUUUCUUCGGAUUGAAGUUUUAGUGACUGAGCGGCGGACGGGUGAGUAACGCGUGGGUAACCUGCCUCAUACAGGGGGAUAACAGUUGGAAACGGCUGCUAAUACCGCAUAAGCGCACAGUACCGCAUGGUACGGUGUGAAAAACUCCGGUGGUAUGAGAUGGACCCGCGUCUGAUUAGGUAGUUGGUGGGGUAACGGCCUACCAAGCCGACGAUCAGUAGCCGACCUGAGAGGGUGACCGGCCACAUUGGGACUGAGACACGGCCCAAACUCCUACGGGAGGCAGCAGUGGGGAAUAUUGCACAAUGGGGGAAACCCUGAUGCAGCGACGCCGCGUGAGCGAAGAAGUAUUUCGGUA
rnacentral:rRNA from 1 species